rnacentral:lncRNA from 1 species
AACUGACUGUGGUCUGGUAGAGCCCAAGAGAAACAAUCUUGUGAGAAAUUGUGAGAGAGGGCUCUGGCUUGCAGUGAUUUUCUGUGAGGGGACCCCUAAGACCUAUUGCAUUAAAAAAAAUAAAUGAAAAAGAUGAGAAAAACUGGAAAAAAUUUCUGGCUGCCAUAUUAUUUACAGACUCAUCUAUAUCCAGUGAGAGGAAAGCAUUUCCUAAUUAUCUACUGCCUUUCUGUGACUUUCUAUCAGGCUCCACUCAUUAAACUCACAUUUCCAGACUGACCUGUCAAAGACUAAUGACAGAAUUUCUGUCCUUUCUCUUUCACCCUUACCUCUUCUGCUUAUGUUCCUUAUCUCUAAAAGUUGAUUCUUUGCAGAUAUAUUGUUAUUUCAUUCAUUCUCUUACUGCCAUUCAGUUAAGUCAUUGAAUAUUUAAUGAUGGCUUCUAAAGAGGAAUAAGAUGUUCCUAUUUUAUUCAUUAUUCUACGUUCAGUUCCUGAAAUGGUACCUGACAAUGUCAAACAAGAAUUACUUAAUGGAUGAAUGAACUGAUUGUCAGGCACCAAACUGAUUGCUGGCUGUUGGUUGUAAAUUCCAUUAGCUUCUCUCAUCCACUAGGAUUUCACUGUCUUGGUUCCCUUACUAGCAUUUUGAACAUUCACAAUGUUUGAUCUUACUCAAUGUUUUCCAGUUCCUAUCUUUCUGGUGUUUUCAGGUGGAGACUUCCCAAUUCAGUCUGGACCCCAGAAAAAUCUCAUUCAUUACAUCAAUAGCUAGGCCAAUGUCCCAGACAAAGGCUGAAGGACAGAGAGAGCAAGAUUAAUAAUAUAAAUAUAUAAUAUUUUAUAAAGUGAAUUAAUUUCUAAUAGGCUUUAAAUUCUAUAAAUAUGACUUUAUUCUUAUUUAUAAAGACUAAUGGUUAAUAAUAUUUCUCAAAUUGAAGUCAACUCUGUCUUUAAAUAGCAGCACCACUUGAAAAGACAUGGGUUUACAGCAAGUAGGGGGAAAAGACUGGGAUAUAUGAUGUUAGGAACAUAAUUAAGAGAAAAAAAAUUGGAAAUAUAGUAAUGUUAUCCAGUUAUUUUUCCAAUUAAAGUUCAAAAGAUAUAAUAAGCGUAACUCUAAUAAUUUUUCCAUUUGAAAACAAGUUAGAUGAAGUACUAUUUUAUACACAAACUCAUUAAAAAUUACUUAGUACCAAUAUAAACUAAAAAGAUAGUAUUAGCCUCAUUUAUUGAUGAAAAAAUAAAAGACAGGUCGAGUGAUCCUCCUAAAGCUAGAAAGGAAACCAAUUAUUACAAUUUCCCAUGUCAAUUUAUAUUGCAAAUCAAGUGAGAAGGAUUUAUAUAUAUAGGAACUAGUAAAAUUAGUGUACAGUAUAACUUACCUCCAACAGUAACAUGCUGGCAUCUUACAUUUUAGGCAAAUUCUGUGAGGAUAUUACCAAGUGAUAAAAAUCAGAAUUUUUCAUCACGAGCUAUUUUGACCAUUUCCUAUUUCUUUUUUUUUUCUUCUUUUUUUUUUUUUUUUGCCAUUUCUUGGGCCACUCUCGCAACACAUGGGGGUUCCCAGGCUAGGGGUCGAAUCGGAGCUGUAGCCAAUGGCCUACCCCAGAGCCACAGCAACGUGGGAUCUGAGCCGCGUCUGCAACCUACACCACAGCUCAUGGCAACGCCUGAUCGUUAACUCACUGAGCAAGGCCAGGGAUCAAACCCGCGCAACCUCAUGGUUCUUAGUCGGAUUCAUUAACCACUGCGCCAGGAUGGGAACUCCCUCCUCCUAUUUCUUUAAAAACUCACAUUUAAACAAUUUUUUAAUAAUACUAAAAUUAUUCUUUCCAGUUAAUCACUGGCCAACAAGUAGUAACCAUUUCCCCAAAAAGCCAUAAAAAAGGCUCCUCAAAAUGUUUCACUAAAGUAUGCUAGAAUGCUAUCAUCAAAAUAACAAGAGAUAAGUGUUGACAAGGACCCUCAAUAUUAGAACAGUAACUCCCACAUGACCCAGCUUCUGGAUAAAUACCUAAAGGAAAUUAAAUCAGUAUCUUGAAGAGAUAUCUGUACCACCAUGUUCACUAUGGUAUUAUUCACAAUAGCCAAGAUUUGGAAACAACCUAAGUGUCCAUCAGUGCAUGAAUGGAUAAAGAAAAUAUGUGUGUGUGUACUUAUCUGAAGGUAUCUAGAUGUGUAUACACAGUGGAAUAUUAUUCAGCCUUAAUAAAAAGAAAUCUUGACAUUUCUGACAACAUGGAGGACCUGGAGGACAUUAUGUUAAGGGAAAUAAACCAAACAGAGCAAGACAAAUAAGGUGUGAUCUCACUUAUAUGUGGAAUCUCAGAAACUAACUCAUAGAAGCAGAGAGUAGAAUGGUAGUUACCAGGGACCAGGGGCUAAGAGCAAGGCAAAAUGGGGACCUACUGGUCAAAGGGUACAAAUCUGUCCCACUAUGCAGAUCAGUAAGUUCUGGAGACCAAUAUACAGCACAGUUACUUUAGUUAAUAAUAUACUGUAUUAUAUAAUUGAAAUUUACUAGCAGUUGGUCUUAAGUGUUUUCACCACACACACGCAAAAGAAACUGUUACCAUAGAUAUAUUAAUUAGCUUGGUUGUGGUAGUAAUUUGUAUAUCUUAAAUAUACACAAUUUUUAUUUGUCAAAUACACCACUGGAAAAAAAAAUAAGCCCCAAUAACAAUAACAACAAUCCCUGACAUUAAAGUAGAAGUUGUAUUCUGAGAAAUCUAGGCAGUACUGGGUAGUCAGCUAUGAAUUCAAAAUUUCUUUGGAGAUUUAUCUUACAUCCUAAAAUUUCAACAACAGUUUGAGUCAAAUUCCAUAAUAUAUCUAUAUUUUUCCAGCAUUUUUUUUGGUUAUAAAUGACAGAAACCAAGAUCAAACUAACUUAGGCAAAAGGGAUGUUCAUUAAAAUGCAGAAAGAACGAGAUCGAUUUAAGGGUCAUUCCUAGCAGGUACUUGAAUAACAUUUAGCAUCUCCCUCCCCUACUCUUGUUGUCUAGCUCCAGUACCUCAUCUCUGCUGCGAGUCUAAUAAAGCUUCAAUCUCUUAAGCCUGCUUAUGCAUAUAAUUGCUAUUUCCAGUACCUUAUGUCUUCUAUCUUGGUCAUGAAGGGGGUAAUCUUUCAUGCCACAGUGAGGUAGAAGAAUCACAGGAAAAGAGUCUGACUCAUCUGGCUUAGGGCAGAUACACACUAGAUCAACCAACUGGAGUUAAGGAGGCAGAAAUAUGGUGUCAUGUGGAAGCCUUCUCAGAAAUACAUGGCUUUUGCAAAGGAAUAAGCCUGUCCCCACUCAAGGAAGAAAUGCUAGGGAGAUCAAACAAUAGCAAUUCUACUUCACAUUUUUUUCCAUAUGAAAUGUAAUCCUCUGUUGCUGUGGGUUAAAAUGUGUGUGUCAGAAAGAAAGACAGUUGGUAUUUUUUCUGCAUUAUUUUACCUCCUUGUGUACUACUCCUCUCUGUCCUGGAGAAGGCUCAAUGGUGGCAGUUUUGGUAGGGUUCUAGGAUCCCAGCAUGUAGCUGUAGAAGUUAUGACUUAUCUGGGUCUUCAUUUAGAUAGGAUUGUUCAUGUGUGUCAGCAUGACCAUAUGGUAGAGCACAGUGAAGAGUGGCAUGAAGAUGCAGGAGACCACCUUUUUGUGUGCACCCUUAGACACCAGGGAGAAUGAGGUGGGGGGGAGCUGCUCGUGGGAAACCAAGUGUGGGUUGAGAAGGUUAGAUUCCAUUCUCUUGGCAACAGGGAUACAUUAGAAAUUUUAAAGCUGGAAAAGGUUACAAUUUAUGGUUGUGUUUCAGAAAACAACUCUAGGCAGAGUGUGAAGGGUCAAUCUAAGGAUCAAGGAACCAGAGGAAGAACAAUCACUUCAUUAACUAUUACACAUAUUCCAAAGGGGUUGGUUUUGAUUUGAGAGACAUUGAAAGGAAGCAUCAGAAGAAUCUGGAGUUUCAGUGGGGCUGAAUAAGAGGGAAUUGUCAAAGGUAAGGGAGACUGAAUAUGAACUACUCGGAAGAACACACUAAGAGAAUUGAUAAUUUGUAGCUACUUAGUGGUAACCUAAAGGCAAAGUCUCUCUCUUUUUAAAAAAUAUAUUGUAACAAUAUCUGGAGUAAUCCAAUGGUUUAAAAUUUUCCUAAGGGAUUUUAAAAUGCAUUCAAAGUAAUCUGGAGAAUUCUGACGGAAAGAUAGGGAAAAAUGAAAUUAGAAGGCCUACGAGUAAUGUGUGAUGGUACCAUAUGCUAUUUCUUUCAGUAGUUUAUGCUUGUUCAUUAAAUGAAAAUAAAAGUAGCAAUACCCAUUCAAAGAUCCAUUAACAAUACAAAAGAAUCCAUAACAUGAUGCAAAAUUACUUUUCCUUCUUUGUAGACUAUAGAUUCAAUAAUCACUACCACACCUACCACAUACUUGUGGCAUAGUUUUCUGCCUAAACAGGCUCAGACUUGCCUAUUUAAAAUUCACUGACUUUGUUAAAACUCUAUUAAAGAAUUGUUAACUGAUUUGACUUCCUGGUGUAACCAAGAAUGUUUCCACAGCAGCUUGAUAUAAAAAUGUCUUUCUGCCCUGGCAUGUAAUGCUGAUCAAGAUGCAAGUAGGUCAACACAUACUUGUUCAGGAAAGGAUUCUGUCUCUAUCUGACAAAAAUGUCAAAAUAUCAGGAAAGACCCUUUCUCUAAGUGUUGACAAUUACUCUUUGCUUAGAUG